rnacentral:rRNA from 1 species
UAUCCAGACUCCUACGGGAGGCAGCAGUGGGGAAUAUUGCACAAUGGGGGAAACCCUGAUGCAGCGACGCCGCGUGAAGGAAGAAGUAUUUCGGUAUGUAAACUUCUAUCAGCAGGGAAGAAAAUGACGGUACCUGACUAAGAAGCCCCGGCUAACUACGUGCCAGCAGCCGCGGUAAUACGUAGGGGGCAAGCGUUAUCCGGAAUUACUGGGUGUAAAGGGAGCGCAGACGGCAGUGCAAGUCUGGAGUGAAAGCCCGGGGCCCAACCCCGGGACUGCUCUGGAAACUGCGGCGCUGGAGUACGGGAGGGGCAGGCGGAAUUCCUGGUGUAGCGGUGAAAUGCGUAGAUAUCAGGAGGAACACCGGCGGCGAAGGCGGCCUGCUGGACCGUGACUGACGUUGAGGCUCGAGAGCGUGGGGAGCAAACAGGAUUAGAUCCCCCUGUA